CACGUAGGAGGCGAGCGUUGUCCGGAAUCAUUGGGCGUAAAGAGCGCGCAGGCGGCUUGGCAAGUCGGGUGUGAAAUCCCGGGGCUCAACCCCGGGACUGCAUUCGAUACUGUCAGGCUAGAGGUAGGUAGGGGAGAUCGGAAUUCCUGGUGUAGCGGUGAAAUGCGCAGAUAUCAGGAGGAACACCGGUGGCGAAGGCGGGUUGCUGGGCCGACACUGACGCUGAUGCGCGAAAGCCAGGGGAGCGAACGGG
rnacentral:rRNA from 1 species